rnacentral:rRNA from 1 species
AACGAACGCUGGCGGCAUGCCUAACACAUGCAAGUCGAACGAUACCUUCUGGUCUAGUUGCGCACGGGUUCGUCACGCGUGGGAAUCUGCCCUUGGGUUCGGACUAACAUUUGGAAACGACUGCUAAUACCGGAUGAUUACGUAUGUCCAAAGAUUUAUCGCCCAAGGAUGAGCCCGCGUAGGAUUAGCUAGUUGGUGAGGUAAAGGCUCACCAAGGCGACGAUCCUUAGCUGGUCUGAGAGGAUGAUCAGCCACACUGGGACUGAGACACGGCCCAGACUCCUACGGGAGGAAGCAGGGGGGAAUAUUGGACAAUGGGCGAAAGACUGAUCCAGCAAUGCCGCGUGAGUGAUGAAGGACUUAGGGUUGUAAAGCUCUGUUAACAGGGAUGAUAAUGACAGUACCGGGAGAAUAAGCGCCGGCUAACUACGUG